AUUGAACGCUGGCGGCAGGCCUAACACAUGCAAGUCGAGCGAGCGGCGGACGGGUGAGUAAUGUCUGGGAAACUGCCUGAUGGAGGGGGAUAACUACUGGAAACGGUAGCUAAUAACGCAUUCCAUCCGAUGUGCCCAGAGGGGAUUAGCUAGUAGGUGGGGUAACGGCUCACCUAGGCGACGAUCCCUAGCUGGUCUGAGAGGAUGACCAGCCACACUGGAACUGAGACACGGUCCAGACUCCUACGGGAGGCAGCAGUGGGGAAUAUUGCACAAUGGGUGCAAGCCUGAUGCAGCCAUGCCGCGUGUGUGAAGAAGGCCUUCGGGUUGUAAAGCACUUUCAGCGGGGAGGCGUUACCCGCAGAAGAAGCACCGGCUAACUCCGUGCCAGCCGCCGCGGUAAUUC
rnacentral:rRNA from 1 species